GACGAACGCUGGCGGCGUGCUUAACACAUGCAAGUCGAACGGAAAGGCCCUGCUUUUGUGGGGUGCUCGAGUGGCGAACGGGUGAGUAACACGUGAGUAACCUGCCCUUGACUUUGGGAUAACUUCAGGAAACUGGGGCUAAUACCGGAUAGGAGCUCCUGCUGCAUGGUGGGGGUUGGAAAGUUUCGGCGGUUGGGGAUGGACUCGCGGCUUAUCGGCUUGUUGGUGGGGUAGUGGCUUACCAAGGCUUUGACGGGUAGCCGGCCUGAGAGGGUGACCGGCCACAUUGGGACUGAGAUACGGCCCAGACUCCUAUGGGAGGCAGCAGUGGGGAAUAUUGCACAAUGGGCGGAAGCCUGAUGCAGCAACGCCGCGUGCGGGAUGACGGCCUUCGGGUUGUAAACCGCUUUCGCCUGUGACGAAGCGUGAGUGACGGUAAUGGGUAAAGAAGCACCGGCUAACUACGUG
rnacentral:rRNA from 1 species